rnacentral:rRNA from 1 species
GACGAACGCUGGCGGCGUGCCUAAUACAUGCAAGUCGAGCGGAUUGAUGGGAGCUUGCUCCCUGAUAUCAGCGGCGGACGGGUGAGUAACACGUGGGCAACCUGCCUAUAAGACUGGGAUAACUUCGGGAAACCGGAGCUAAUACCGGAUAAUCCCUUUCCUCUCAUGAGGAAAGGCUGAAAGAUGGUUUACGCUAUCACUUAUAGAAGGGCCUGCGGCGCAUUAUCUAGUUGGUGAGGUAACGGCUCACCAAGGCAACGAUGCGUAGCCGACCUGAGAGGGUGAUCGGCCACACUGGGACUGAGACACGGCCCAGACUCCUACGGGAGGCAGCAGUAGGGAAUCUUCCGCAAUGGACGAAAGUCUGACGGAGCAACGCCGCGUGAGUGAUGAAGGUUUUCGGAUCGUAAAACUCUGUUGUUAGGGAAGAACAAGUACGAGAGUAACUGCUCGUACCUUGACGGUACCUAACCAGAAAGCCACGGCUAACUACGUGCCAGCCGCCGCCGUAA